AGAGUUUGAUCCUGGCUCAGGACGAACGCUAGCGGCGCGCUUAACACAUGCAAGUCGAGCGGAAAGGCCCUUCGGGGUACUCGAGCGGCGAACGGGUGAGUAACACGUGAGCAACCUACCUUGGCUUUGGGAUAACCCCGGGAAACCGGGGCUAAUACCGGAUAUCCACUCUCCGUCGCAUGAUGGUGGGUGAAAAGUUU
rnacentral:rRNA from 1 species